rnacentral:pre_miRNA from 1 species
UGAAGGGUGUUUUGUGGGGGAUGUUGGCUGGCUCGACGCAACCACAGUUUUCUUGCUGUUAAUUAAUUAUAUUAAUUAAUUAAUGAUUUUCUUUUUUUACAGCUGUUAAAAGAAAAAAAAAACUGUGAAGGCUUCGGACCAGGCUUCAUUCCUCUCAAACCCGGCCUUUCG